CUCCUACGGGAGGCAGCAGUAAGGAAUAUUGGUCAAUGGAGGCAACUCUGAACCAGCCAUGCCGCGUGCAGGAAGACAGCCCUCUGGGUCGUAAACUGCUUUUAUUCGGGAAUAAACCUACUUACGUGUAAGUAGCUGAAUGUACCGAAGGAAUAAGGAUCGGCUAACUCCGUGCCAGCAGCCGCGGUAAUACGGAGGAUCCAAGCGUUAUCCGGAUUUAUUGGGUUUAAAGGGUGCGUAGGCGGCCUAUUAAGUCAGGGGUGAAAGACGGUAGCUCAACUAUCGCAGUGCCCUUGAUACUGAUGGGCUUGAAUACACUAGAGGUAGGCGGAAUGUGACAAGUAGCGGUGAAAUGCAUAGAUAUGUCACAGAACACCGAUUGCGAAGGCAGCUUACUAUGGUGUUAUUGACGCUGAGGCACGAAAGCGUGGGGAUCAAACAGGA
rnacentral:rRNA from 1 species